GGUUCGGAAUAACAGCUGGAAACGGCUGCUAAUACCGGAUGAUAUCGCGAGAUCAAAGAUUUAUCGCCUGAGGAUGAGCCCGCGUUGGAUUAGGUAGUUGGUGGGGUAAAGGCCUACCAAGCCGACGAUCCAUAGCUGGUCUGAGAGGAUGAUCAGCCACACUGGGACUGAGACACGGCCCAGACUCCUACGGGAGGCAGCAGUGGGGAAUAUUGGACAAUGGGCGAAAGCCUGAUCCAGCAAUGCCGCGUGAGUGAUGAAGGCCCUAGGGUUGUAAAGCUCUUUUACCCGGGAAGAUAAUGACUGUACCGGGAGAAUAAGCCCCGGCUAACUCCGUGCCAGCAGCCGCGGUAAUACGGAGGGGGCUAGCGUUGUUCGGAAUUACUGGGCGUAAAGCGCACGUAGGCGGCUUUGUAAGUCAGAGGUGAAAGCCUGGAGCUCAACUCCAGAACUGCCUUUGAGACUGCAUCGCUUGAAUCCAGGAGAGGUCAGUGGAAUUCCGAGUGUAGAGGUGAAAUUCGUAGAUAUUCGGAA
rnacentral:rRNA from 1 species